GGAUAGAUGGCCGAGUGGUCGAAGGCGCACGAUUGGAAAUCGUGUGUACGCCCAAAGCGUACCGAGGGUUCGAAUCCCUCUCUAUCCGCCA
rnacentral:tRNA from 2 species